rnacentral:lncRNA from 1 species
UGUAAGCUUUAUAUGGCUACAGUUACAGGAGAGCAUGUGAGUUAGAAAUGAGCACCAUCAGUUUGGCAUAGUGAGGAUAAACAGAAACAUAAAAAUCUUCCAGGUAUCUAUGCAAAAGCAAGUAAAAAUGAAUUCCUGUGAACAGCAGAGCCGCGUGUUCUUUAAGAAAAUUCCCCAGUGAAUGAAAUGAUAUUACAAGCUUUCCAAAGGUUUUAUUACAGAAAGGCUCGGGAAAGGCCACUGAGUAUGAGGUAAGUGGCUGUUUUGCAUUAGGCUGAGACACAAAAUUAGGCUGACAGAAACACUGCUUUCAAAGACAUGCAAAAGUUGAGCUCAAAGUCAAGGCUAAUGAAAGGAGAAGGAGAGGAAACAUUUUGCUUAUGAAGUUGCAUUUUUGGCCAAAUCACUGGUUAACCCUUACUAUGAUUAUUUCCAGUGUUUAAUUAAUUCUGACAUGGAAAGUAUCUUGUGAUGACAUAUUUCAUAUAAAACAGUGGAAUGUCAGUUUGAGAAACAUUGCUAAAUCAUGCGGAUGUCUUUCUAGCAUUAACUAGUAAAAGGCAAAGGUCUUGUGGGUUACGGUCUUGGUGGAUUUAUUUGUCCCUUCUAGAUUUGAAAGAGGAUUAGCUUCCAUUUGAAAGAUGAUUCCUUUGAUUGCCAGUAUGUAUUGUUUCAUUUCCUAAUAUUUUAUGCAGAAUGCAUUGAACAUGACUCUCAAGUACUUAUUUAUUUGUCCCAUUGCAGUGGGAGCUGGUUCAGAAUGAAAAUCUCGUAUUAAGUGUUGGGCACGUAUUAAAGACCAAGUGUGGAACCACUGACACCACAAGCUUUACCUGGGGGUUGUUCUUUUAGUGCAGUCUCUACAUUAAGAACUGUAUUCAUACAAAAAUUCAAGUAACAGUGGAGCUUCAAAGUUUGAAUGAGUCAGACUCUUAUGUCCUAGUUGCUUUUCAUAAAGACUGUGAUCAUAUUUUUGGGCCACCAUCAUCAAGUUACCUGGUAGUUGUUUACCUGUGUAAAUGCAAUCAGUUAUUCUAGGACUAUUUGACCCCAUUAUAAUUAUGGAGAGCUUAGGUCUUUGAGUGGGUUUUCUUACAUUGCAUUUAUAAAUGCAUUCUGAUUCAAAGUAGAAUUCUGUUUUUCUACAGAUAAAACCUUUUCUGUCUGUAAUAUUCAUUCAUAUUCUGUACAUUUUCUGUGUAAAUGAGAAGGCAAUUACUUUACUCAUUGUAUUUAGAGAUUUUUCACUGGGCUUGCAAUGUUACUCCCG